GACGGAGGAUGCGAGUGUUAUCCGGAAUCACUGGGCGUAAAGCGUCUGUAGGUGGUUUAAAAAGUCUGCUGUUAAAAAUUGAAGCUUAACUUCAAAGAUGCCGUAGAAACUUUUAAACUCGAGGAUGGUAGGGGUAGAGGGAAUUUCCAGUGGAGCGGUGAAAUGCGUAGAUCGUUGGAAAGACCACCAUGACGCAGUACGUCGAGCAUCGACGA
rnacentral:rRNA from 1 species